AAUACAUCUAGUGGCGGACGGGUGAGGAAUACGUAGGAAUUUGCCUUAGAGCGGGGGAUAGCCCAGGGAAACUUGGAGUAAUACCGCAUGAUGUCGAAAGACCAAAGCAGGGGACCGCAAGGCCUUGCACUCUGAGAGAAGCCUACGUCUGAUUAGCUAGUUGGUAGGGUAAUGGCCUACCAAGGCGACGAUCAGUAACUGGUCUGAGAGGACGAUCAGUCACACCGGAACUGAGACACGGUCCGGACUCC
rnacentral:rRNA from 1 species